AAAUUAUGUUUGACAGAUUAUUUGUUUGUUUUAUAUUCCAGCGCAAGCACCAACCCAACAGGUGACCAUCAAUAAAGUCAAGUUCCUUGAAGAAAAAUGCAAAGAUGUGGAUAAUGAGAGGGAUUUUCUUUGGAGCAGUUUAACCAAUGCCCUGUCAACUAAAGAAACAAAAGAGUCAAAGAAGUCUAUUGUGAUCACAGAUUCUUCUGAUGAGAACCAUGUACGAGCAGAAAAGAAAAAGUACAGAAAGGGAAGCAAGAAGACCAAAAGAGACAACUCAACUUCUAGCUCCUUCCAGUCCUCAUCUUCCUCAGAUUCUUACUUUUCUUUAUCACCUCACAAGACUAAGAAGAACAAGAAGGGAAAGAAAGCACAGAAAAGUGCAAAAAGCAGAAGAGUAUUUUUACCAGAGCAAGUCAUAGGAAGAUGGUUGGUUGUCAAAAGGAGCAACCAAAACGGAGGCAUACCAAAAGUGCGGUGUGGAUAGGAAGACGAUUGUCGAUACGUCUGCCAUUGCUGAGUUGGAAGCCUGUGACAUCACAGCGUACAAUAAAUUACGUGCUGCCUUUCAAAAAGGGCAAAAGCUGUCCGACUUUGCAGACCGUUGCCGGCAGUUGUGCACACAGGAACCAGUGUGCACUGCCAUUGAGGAAUAAAAGAGAAAUGGAGAGCUUAUAGACAUUCCACAAAAGAAUAAAUAACAUGUUACCAAUGGCUGUGUGUACAUUUCUAAUGUACAUUCUCAGUUUAUCUUCACAAUCUAAUUGUGUUGAAGGUUUUUUUUUGUUGUUGUUGUUAAAUUUAUCCACCAUGUUUGGCUCAGUUUUUUAUCACAUUUUUUGAAUGCGUUAAUGUUGUUUCAUUCCAAAAUACAGAAUUUUGCUUAGUUUAUGGCUAGGUUUCAUCAUUGUGCCAAAUUUAAUUUAAAAAAAGUUAGACCCAAUCACUGCAGUUGUUUUAUGUUGCACAGUUCCUGUGGGGUGACACAUUAGUGAAGGGUUAACAUGUUUUUUCACUUUUCCAGGCUACUGUUACUUAAAGGUAGGUCUUUUGGAGUUGGAGACAUAUUUAACGGACACUGAUCAGAGCUCAUAAUAGUGAACUAAUCCAAUCAUGAGCAUGUCAGCAUCACUUCCUAAUUGUUUAAAAUUUUAAUCAAAUUAUCAUCAUUAGUAUUAUUCUAUGUUUAAGUUUUAAAUAAACAACAUGUACGAA